rnacentral:rRNA from 1 species
UGGGGAAUCUUGGACAAUGGGCGCAAGCCUGAUCCAGCCAUGCCGCGUGAGUGAAGAAGGCCUUCGGGUUGUAAAGCUCUUUUACCAGGGACGAUAAUGACGGUACCUGGAGAAUAAGCCCCGGCAAACUUCGUGCCAGCAGCCGCGGUAAUACGAAGGGGGCUAGCGUUGUUCGGAAUUACUGGGCGUAAAGCGUGCGUAGGCGGCCAUUCAAGUCAGAGGUGAAAGCCUGGAGCUCAACUCCAGAACUGCCUUUGAAACUAGAUGGCUAGAAUCUUGGAGAGGUGAGUGGAAUUCCGAGUGUAGAGGUGAAAUUCGUAGAUAUUCGGAAGAACACCAGUGGCAAGGCGACUCACUGGACAAGUAUUGACGCUGAGGUACGAAAGCGUGGGGAGCAAACAGGAUUAGAUACCCCAGUAGUCCCUGAGCGGGCUGGCAAGGCGCAU